CCUACGGGUGGCUGCAGUGAGGAAUAUUGGUCAAUGGGCGCGAGCCUGAACCAGCCAAGUAGCGUGAAGGAUGACUGCCCUACGGGUUGUAAACUUCUUUUAUAAAGGAAUAAAGUGAGGCACGUGUGCCUUUUUGUAUGUACUUUAUGAAUAAGGAUCGGCUAACUCCGUGCCAGCAGCCGCGGUAAUACGGAGGAUCCGACCGUUAUCCGGAUUGAUUGGGUUUAAAGGGAGAGUAGAUGGGUUGGUAAGUCAGUUGUGAAAGUUUGUGGCGCAACCGUAAAAUUGCAAUUGAUACUGGCAGUCUUGAGUACAGUUGAGGUAGGCGGAAUUCGUGGUGGAGCGGUGAAAUGCUUAGAUAUCACGAAGAACUCCGAUUGCGAAGGCAGCUUACUAAACUGCCACUGACAUUGAUGCUCGAAAGUGUGGGUAUCAAACAGGAUUAGAUACCCUGGUAGUC
rnacentral:rRNA from 1 species